UACGGAAGGCAGCAGUGGGGAAUAUUGCACAAUGGGCGAAAGCCUGAUGCAGCUAUGCCGCGUGUAUGAAGAAGGCCUUAGGGUUGUAAAGUACUUUCAUCGGGGAGGAAAAACAAACUAAUAAUUUUAUUUCUUGACGUUACCCGAAAAAGAAGCACCGGCUAACUCCGUGCCAGCAGCCGCGGUAAUACGGAGGGUGCUAGCGUUAAUCAGAAUUACUGGGCGUAAAGAGCACGUAGGUGAUUUUUUUAAGUUCAGAUGUGAAAUCCCUGGGCUUAACCUAGGAACUGCAUUUUGAAACUGAAAUACUAGAGUAUCGUAGAGGGAGGUAGAAUUCUAGGUGUAGCGGUGAAAUGCGUAGAUAUCUGGAGGAAUACCUGUGGCGAAAGCGGCCUCCUAAACGAAUACUGACACUGAGGUGCGAAAGCGUGGGGAGCAAACAGGGAUUAGAUACC
rnacentral:rRNA from 1 species